GACGAACGCUGGCGGCGUGCCUAAUGCAUGCAAGUCGAGCGACGGAUAGGUGCGGGUAACCAAACCUAUUACGGAGCGGCGAACGGGUGAGUAACACGUGAGCAACCUGCCCCGCAGAUCGGGAUAGCCCAGGGAAACUUGGAUUAAUACCGGAUAUUCUCCUUUAACCACAUGAUUGUUGGAGGAAAUGCUUUUGCGCUACGGGAUGGGCUCACGGCCUAUCAGCUUGNGGUGGGGUAACGGCCUACCAAGGCUACGACGGGUAGCUGGUCUGAGAGGACGAUCAGCCACACUGGGACUGAGACACGGCCCAGACUCCUACGGGAGGCAGCAGCAGGGAAUCUUGCGCAAUGGGCGAAAGCCUGACGCAGCAACGCCGCGU
rnacentral:rRNA from 1 species